AGUUCCAUGCCCAUUACAGAGUGAAAGCAAAGACUGAAAACAUGAGCAGUUGACACCAAAGGCAGGUAAUCCCUGAACUCCAGUGGGAAGUUUGCUUAGCUACAGGGUGCGGUGUCCUGCCCAGCAUCAGCAGCACGGAGGCAGGAAGACAGGAGACUGGCUAGCCACAAAGGCCAGGACUUCUCAUCUCAAGUCUGACUCCCAGAAGCCACAGAAAAUGAAACUCCCCCCAAACCCCGGUCUUUGCCUCCAGAGUUGGGCCGCAGUGACCAGUGGUCAGCAGAAUUUCCAGCUCAUUGUCCACCUGCUGAGGAAAUGGAGGGAUCUCCGGGUGGUAGACUUAAUGUCACUGAAACACGCCUCAAGGAUCCCAGCUAAUUGGAGACCAGAUCCUUUUAGGAAGAUACGAAUGGAACUCUGAAAUUUAAACCAGUAUUACAAUGAUAUAGGGGAAAGAGAUAUAAACCUGCUAGAUAUCCAAAGCGCAAGUUUGUGUUCUCUAAAAUCAAAGAAUGAAUUCUAGGAACAACGGCGGGUAAGAGUAGGAAAAAUUUAUUGAGAGAAAGAUAGCUUCUGCCUAAGAGAGACAGAAGG
rnacentral:lncRNA from 1 species